GAUCAUGGCUCAGGACGAACGCUGGCGGCGUGCUUAACACAUGCAAGUCGAACGAGAAUCUACGGAUCGAGGAUUCGUCCAAGAGAAGUAGAGGACAGUGGCGGACGGGUGAGUAACGCGUGAGGAACCUGCCUUUCAGAGGGGGACAACAGUUGGAAACGACUGCUAAUACCGCAUGGCACAUUGGGGUCGCAUGGCCCUGAUGUCAAAGAUUUAUCG
rnacentral:rRNA from 1 species